rnacentral:rRNA from 1 species
GACUAACGCUGGCGGCGUGCCUAACACAUGCAAGUCGGACGGGGGUAGCAAUACCCCAGUGGCAGACGGGUGAGUAACGCGUAGAUAACGUGUCCCAAUGUUCGGGAUAGCCACUGGAAACGGUGGGUAAUACCGGGUGUGGUCUUCCUGCGGCCUCGCAGGGAGAAGAAAGCAGCAAUGCGCAGUGGGAGCGGUCUGCGUCCUAUUAGCUAGUUGGUGGGGUAAUGGCCUACCAAGGCUGCGAUGGGUAGCCGGUCUGAGAGGAUGAUCGGCCACACUGGCACUGAGAUACGGGCCAGACUCCUACGGGAGGCAGCAGUGAGGGAUUUUGCGCAAUGGGCGAAAGCCUGACGCAGCGACGCCGCGUGCGGGAUGAAGGUCUUCGGAUUGUAAACCGCUGUCAGUGGGAAGAGCAAGGACGGUAACCCGGCUGAGGAAGCUUCGGCUAACUACGUGCCAGCAGCCGCGGUAAU